GAUGAAGUAAGUAAGGGCGUACGGUGAAUGCCUUGGUGCCAACAGGCGAAGAAGGACGCGGCAAGCUGCGAAAAGCCUCGGGAAGCUGCAAGCAAGCGAUGAUCCGGGGAUAUCCGAAUGGGGUAACCUGAUCGAGGCAAUACUCGAUCGUUCAUACCUGAAUACAUAGGGUAUGAAACGCGAAACCCGCUGAAGUGAAACAUCUCAGUAAGCGGAGGAAAAGAAAGAGAAAUCGAUUCCGUAAGUAGUGGCGAGCGAAAGCGGAUGGAGCCCAAACCGAAGGUAUUCCUUCGGGGUUGUAGGACCACGUCAUAUUCGACCAUACUGGAUAGUAUAGCAGCCUGGAAAGGCUGGCC
rnacentral:rRNA from 1 species